UACGGGAGGCAGCAGUGGGGAAUAUUSCACAAUGGGCGRAAGCCUGAUGCAGCGACGCCGCGUGRGGGAUGAYGRCCUUCSGGUUGUAAACYUCUUUCAGUAGGGAAGAAGCGAGAGUGACGGUACCUGCAGAAGAAGCGCCGGCUAACUACGUGCCAGCAGCCGCGGUAAUACGUAGGGCGCAAGCGUUAUCCGGAUUUAUUGGGCGUAAAGAGCUCGUAGGCGGUUUGUCGCGUCUGCCGUGAAAGUCCGAGGCUCAACCUCGGAUCUGCGGUGGGUACGGGCAGACUAGAGUGAUGUAGGGGAGACUGGAAUUCCUGGUGUAGCGGUGAAAUGCGCAGAUAUCAGGAGGAACACCGAUGGCGAAGGCAGGUCUCUGGGCAUUUACUGACGCUGAGGAGCGAAAGCAUGGGGAGCGAACAGGAUUAGAUACCCUGGUAGUCCAUGCCGUAAACGUUGGGCACUAGGUGUGGGGGACAUUCCACGUUUUCCGCGCCGUAGCUAACGCAUUAAGUGCCCCGCCUGGGGAGUACGGCCGCAAGGCUAAAACUCAAAGGAAUUGACGGGGGCCCGCACAAGCGGCGGAGCAUGCGGAUUAAUUCGAUGCAACGCGAAGAACCUUACCAAGGCUUGACAUGUUCCAGACCGGGCUAGAGAUAGUCCUUCCCUUCGGGGCUGGUUCACAGGUGGUGCAUGGUUGUCGUCAGCUCGUGUCGUGAGAUGUUGGGUUAAGUCCCGCAACGAGCGCAACCCUCGUUCCAUGUUGCCAGCACGUAGUGGUGGGGACUCAUGGGAGACUGCCGGGGUCAACUCGGAGGAAGGUGGGGRUGACGUCAAAUCAUCAUGCCCYUWAUGUCUUGGGCUUCACGCAUGCUACAAUGGCCGGUACRAUGGGUUGCGAUACUGUGAGGUGGAGCUAAUCCCYAAAAGCCGGUCUCAGUUCGGAUUGGGGUCUGCAACUCGACCCCAURAAGUCGGAGWCGCUAGUAAUCGCAGAUCAGCAACGCUGCGGUGAAUACGUUCCCGGGCCUUGUACACACCGCCCGUCAAGUCACGAAAGUUGGUAACACCCGAAGCCGAUGGCCUAA
rnacentral:rRNA from 1 species